GACGAACCGUGCGAACGUUAUUCGGAAUCACUGGGCUUAAAGGGCGCGUAGACGGGCGACCGCGUCGAUGGCUGAAAGCCCCCGGCUCAACCGGGGAACGGGCCUCGAUACGGGUCGUCUCGAGUGGAGGAGGGGGACCUGGAACUUCCGGUGGAGCGGUGAAAUGCGUUGAGAUCAGGAAGAACACCGGUGGCGAAAGCGCUCUGCUGGACCUUAACUGACACUGAGGGACGGAAGCUAGGGGAGCGAAUGGG
rnacentral:rRNA from 1 species